ensembl:snRNA U6 U6 spliceosomal RNA
GUGCUGCUUUUGAGCGCCCACUGGAGACAAGCCUCACCGGUACAGAGAAGGUUAGCAUGGCCCCUGCGCAAGAAUGACACACAAAUUCGUGAAGCAUUCCAUAUUUUU